rnacentral:lncRNA from 1 species
AAAUACGGUUUGGAGUUUAUAUACAAGGUUUUGAAUUUAAACUUUUAACUUUGGGGUUAUAAAUGUUAAAAUGAAGUAUUAAAUAUAAAUUUUAAGACUUAGUUAUAAAGUUAAAGUUAUAAAACAAAAAUUCUUUGAAAAUUACAAAUUGUGUCUAGAUAUAAAAUUUAAAAGUUUAUGAUUUGAUAUGUAGUUUAGGUUCAGAGUUUUUAUGUGAAAUAUAAUGUUUGAAAAAUGAUUUUUCUUAACAUUAGGAAAAUGUUAUUAUAUGUCUUUGAUAGCAUUACUGAAACCGUUUAAAUGAUGUAUUUGGCGUUUAA